UGACAGAUGCAUAUUCUGUGCCUUUUCGCC
rnacentral:piRNA from 1 species